GAAACAGGCUCAGAGAUUUUCCCAGGGUCGCAAAGAUGAUAAGAAAGUCAGAAACUGAAGACAGACUACUAUCUGAAUUGACUCAAAAUACAAUGUGCAUUCCAUUACACCAGAGCGAUCAAACUCAAAGCCUACUGGACAGACAGAACCAGGUGAAAGAUGUCAGGAACAAUGUGACACUGCUUCACUUUAAAGGGGAACAGCAUUCUGAAAUCCUAAUUCUUGCUGAGGAAGUUUUCUGAAGAGUCUUGCUGCUCAGCCUGGAAGAUUGGCUUGGUCACUGAUUUCUCCGAGAAGCAAGUACCAGCAACCCCUCUGGCCACCCAGGCCACUGUGUUCUAUUGAGUGGCUGAAUCAACGUGUCCACGGCCUGAGGAAGUCUCCAGUUCCCCAAGAGAAAAGGAUGUAGAGUGAGAAUAAUUCAGAUAAUACAUGAUAAGGUCAUUGUGA